rnacentral:rRNA from 1 species
UACGUAGGGUGCAAGCGUUGUCCGGAAUUAUUGGGCGUAAAGAGCUCGUAGGCGGUCUGUCGCGUCUGCUGUGAAAACCUGGGGCUUAACCCCGGGCCUGCAGUGGGUACGGGCAGACUAGAGUGCGGUAGGGGAGACUGGAAUUCCUGGUGUAGCGGUGAAAUGCGCAGAUAUCAGGAGGAACACCGAUGGCGAAGGCAGGUCACUGGGCCGCAACUGACGCUGAGGAGCGAAAGCAUGGGGAGCGAACAGG